rfam:Fusobacterium sp. CAG:439 genomic scaffold, scf181
CGGGAUGUGGCGCAGCUUGGUAGCGCACCUCGCUUGGGACGAGGGGGUCGCACGUUCAAAUCGUGUCAUCCCGA